rnacentral:rRNA from 1 species
UACGUAGGGUGCGAGCGUUGUCCGGAAUUAUUGGGCGUAAAGGGCUCGUAGGCGGUUUGUCGCGUCGGGAGUGAAAACGCCGGGCUUAACUCGGUGCUUGCUUUCGAUACGGGCAGACUAGAGGCAUGCAGGGGAGAACGGAAUUCCUGGUGUAGCGGUGAAAUGCGCAGAUAUCAGGAGGAACACCGGUGGCGAAGGCGGUUCUCUGGGAAUGUCCUGACGCUGAGGAGCGAAAGUGUGGGGAGCGAACAGG